rnacentral:lncRNA from 12 species
CUCCUUGCAGGGAAAUUAGAUUACUGCUGCCUUGCCGUCUGUGCUUUUUCACAUCUCUACACCCUUUGGUUCUCUUGGAUUUUCCUUGACCUUAGAUCUCCUGAGAGAGGAGAGACAUGAAGAUAGAAGAAAGUAGUGAAGGUUGAUAAUAAUAUACAAAGAAGUACUUCCUGUACAAAAAUAAAUGACAGCGUGGAAAGAACACUGAGAAACAGGAUAGGAAUCAUUUUGCCCUUUGUUUGUUAAGUGCCUGUGAAAAUCAUUUCACCUGGAGAGCAGGCACCCAGCACGGGCUCCCACACCUCGCACGCAGCAGAUCCUCGGGAAAUACUGGGUCAACACAACAUGAGAGGACAUAUUAAAAUAGUUUCUGGCAUCAUAGGAAUAUAUUCAAUGUGCUUUAUGGCAAUAACACAAAAUUAUUAAAAUCGAAUGGACUAACAGGGUUUUGUCUGUUUGUGACCUUCUCAGUAUGACUUGCAAAUUGAGAGAUUUAUCACCUCUGAAAAUUCCCAGGAUAUUCCUCAGCUUCGCCAUUCUACGAAAAUGGGAUCCAAGUGUCUUCAGAAUCUUGUCUGUGGGUGACAUUAUGUAUCUCUUCAAU